rnacentral:rRNA from 1 species
AUUGAACGCUGGCGGCAGGCCUAACACAUGCAAGUCGAGCGGACGAAGGGAGCUCGCUCCUGGAUUCAGCGGCGGACGGGUGAGUAAUGCAUAGGAAUCUGACUGGUCGUGGGGGAUAACGUACGGAAACGGGCGCUAAUACCGCAUACGUCCUGUGGGAGACAGUGGGGGAUCUUCGGACCUCACGCUAUCAGAUGAGCCUAGGUCGGAUUAGCUAGUUGGUGAGGUAACGGCCUACCAAGGCGACGAUCCGUAACUGGUCUGAGAGGCUGAUCAGUCACACUGGAACUGAGACACGGUCCAGACUCCUACGGGAGGCAGCAGUAGGGAAUAUUCGGCAAUGGGCGAAAGCCUGACGCAGCCAUGCCGCGUGAGUGAAGAAGGUCUUCGGAUUGUAAAGCUCUGUUAGUAGGGAAGAAGAGAAGUAUGUGAAUACCUUGCUGUUUUGACGGUACCAACAGAGAAAGCACCGGCUAACUUCGUG